CCUCGUCUCCUAACCAAUGUUUUUUAAAUGCUGGCUCAU
rnacentral:antisense_RNA from 1 species